GUCGAUUGAUUUUUUUUCUUGAAAAGAUUUUAUAAAUAUUGAUGUAGUUACAAGUAAUAGACCUAUUAAAGACUAAGGUUGCUAAGAUCAUCUAUACCAUAUAAGUAUGGUAUCGAUAAUCUUUGCACAAAAAACAACCGAUCUUGCCCGCAUGAAAUCAAACUAAGCUAUCCCUGGUAAAAGAAAAACUAAUCCCUGCAUUUAAAUAAUGAAAAUCCUAUCGAAAUCAGAUCAGUAAUUUUCACCAACCAUACAUAGAUAUUGAUCGAAUAAAGGCCUGUUAUAAAAUCGUUUAA
rnacentral:lncRNA from 1 species